rnacentral:rRNA from 1 species
AGUGAACGCUGGCGGUAGGCCUAACACAUGCAAGUCGAACGGCAGCACAGUAAGAGCUUGCUCUUACGGGUGGCGAGUGGCGGACGGGUGAGGAAUACAUCGGAAUCUACUUUUUCGUGGGGGAUAACGUAGGGAAACUUACGCUAAUACAGCAUACGACCUACGGGUGAAAGCAGGGGAUCUUCGGACCUUGCGCGAAUGAAUGAGCCGAUGUGGGAUUAGCUAGUUGGCGGGGUAAAGGCCCACCAAGGCGACGAUCCGUAGCUGGUCUGAGAGGAUGAUCAGCCACACUGGAACGGAGACACGGUCCAGACUCCUACGGGAGGCAGCAGUGGGGAAUAUUGGACAAUGGGCGCAAGCCUGAUCCAGCCAUACCGCGUGGGUGAAGAAGGCCUUCGGGUUGUAAAGCCCUUUUGUUGGGAAAGAAAAGCAGCAGGUUAAUACCCCGCUGUUCUGACGGUACCCAAAGAAUAAGCACCGGCUAACUUCGUG